UACGGAGGGUGCGAGCGUUGUCCGGAAUCACUGGGCGUAAAGGGUGCGUAGGCGGGUCUUUAAGUCAGGGGUGAAAUCCUGGAGCUCAACUCCAGAACUGCCUUUGAUACUGAGGAUCUUGAGUUCGGGAGAGGUGAGUGGAACUGCGAGUGUAGAGGUGAAAUUCGUAGAUAUUCGCAAGAACACCAGUGGCGAAGGCGGCUCACUGGCCCGAUACUGACGCUGAGGUGCGAAAGCGUGGGGAGCAAACAGGG
rnacentral:rRNA from 1 species